rnacentral:rRNA from 1 species
ACUCAAAUGAAUAGACGGGGGCCCGCACAAGCGGUGGAGCAUGUGGUUCAAUUCGAAGCAACGCGCAGAACCUUACCAGCCUUUGACAUGUCCGGUGUGGAGAUCAGAGAUGAACUCCUUCAGUUCGGCUGGCCGGAACACAGGUGCUGCAUGGCUGUCGUCAGCUCGUGUCGUGAGAUGUUGGGUUAAGUCCCGCAACGAGCGCAACCCUCGCCCUUAGUAACCAUCAUUCAGUUGGGUACUCUAAGGGGACUGCCGGUGAUAAGCCGGAGGAAGGUGGGGAUGACGUCAAGUCCUCAUGGCCCUUACAGGCUGGGCUACACACGUGCUACAAUGGCGGUGACAGUGGGAUGCAAUGGAGCAAUCCCGAGCAAACCUCGAAAAACCGCCUCAGUUCGGAUUGUGCUCUGCAACUCGAGCACAUGAAGUUGGAAUCGCUAGUAAUCGCAGAUCAGAAUGCUGCGGUGAAUACGUUCCCGGGCCUUGCACACACCGCCCGU